rnacentral:lncRNA from 1 species
UCGGAGUUUAAGAAGCAUUUGGACUGUGCUGUUGUCAUAUGGUCUGAAUUCUGAUUUUUGGGUAGACCUGUGUGGACCCAGGAGUUGGACUCGAUGUGGGUCCCUUCCAACUCGGGAUAUUCUAUGAUUCUAGUUCACUAGAAGAAUUAAUACAAUAUAGGAUUUCUUUUUCCUCCAAUACUAGGAAUCAUGUAACAUCCAAGUGAGAGGUUCGAGGACCACACAUCUGGACAUUUGCUCAGCAGCAUACUGCCUGCUAAGGGGAAACAAUUUUUAUUUUGUACAUGGUGAGAGAACUCUGAAGUUUCCAGCUAAUGGCUGCUUGAAGGUACCAAGUGAAGAUGAACUACUUAACUUCAAGAUUAGUCUAAACCUAAGAAGAAUCCUGCUCUGAAACGCUGUCAUGAUAAAAGGAAGUACUAGAAGUUUGGAACAGAGAAAAAAGUUCACAUUAAAAAAAAGUGUCCCUUAGGACUCAAGCAAA